rnacentral:rRNA from 1 species
GAUGAACGCUGGCGGCGUGCCUAAUACAUGCAAGUCGAGCGAACGGACGAUAAUCUUUCUUCUCUUAUGUUUUCGGCUGUCGUGUGUGUAACACGUGUAUAACCUCCCUAUAUUUCUUGUAUAUCUUCGUGACUCCGUUUCUUAUACCGUAUAAUAUUUUGAUCCGCAUGGUUCUAUAUUGUAUUACGUUCUUGCUGUCUCUUUUAGAUUGUUCCUCUCUGCAUUAGCUAGUUGUUAAGGUAACGGCUUACCAAGGCAACGAUGCAUAGCCGACCUGAGAGGGUGAUCGGCCACACUGGAACUGAGACACGGUCAAGAGACCUACGGGAGGCAGCAGUAGGGAAUCGUCCGCAAUGGGCGAAAGCAUGACGGAGCAAAGCCGCGUGAGAGAUGAAGGUCUGAGGAUCGUAAAACUCUGUUAUUAGGGAAGAACAAAUGUGUAAGUAAAAGUGCACAUAAUGACGGUAACUAAUCAGAAAGCCACGGCUAACUACGUG